GUGCUUGCUUCGGCAAGCGCGUACGCUAAAUUGGAUACGAUACAGAGAAGAUUAGCAUGGCCCCUGCGCAAGGGUGACACCCUCACGAGCGAUUGAUGAUCGGGAGCU
ensembl:snRNA U6 U6 spliceosomal RNA